CUUGAAUGAUGAAUUCAUAGUUCAAAUGAUCAAAGUGAUUUCAACCUUUUUUGUCUUUCGCUCCUAACUGAUUUUCUAA